GUGGUAGCUCAGUCAGUAAAGAAUCUGCCUGCAAUGCAGAAGGCCCAGGUUCGAUCCCUGGGUCACG
rnacentral:tRNA from 1 species